rnacentral:rRNA from 1 species
GAACUGGGCCAUGCAACCAGGUCAAUGCCCAACCUUGUCUUGGAAGCUAAACAGGGUUGGGCCUGGUUAAUACUUGGAUGGGAGACCAGUGGGAAUAGCAAAGGCUGUUGUGUCCU